CACGUUUAAAAAACACUUGUUGAAACAUGUGGCUCAUGUUAUUGUUUCAGCAAAUUCCGUUUUUGGUCUGACUGGUUGUAUCUGUAUUGGACGGAUCUCGAUCCGAGAGUUAAAAUCUGGGAGGAUGAGGUCCACAAAAAGUGUAGAUGAUGAUACAGGAUGGCACGAAUAAUUAAUGACAUUUCUGUUUCAAAAUAUAUCCGUGCGUUUUUAAUGGCACAGAGUAAAAAUGGAAAGAACAUGACAGGGCUUCGUUUUUUUGUCACUGCCCGAUUUUAGUGAACUGCUGUUUCUGUCAGGAAUGGAAAUGAACUUGGUGAUACAGAAAUAUAAGCAUAAUUUAUUUCCUCAAGAAGAGAGAAAGGCCACGUCAUGGAGAAGAAGAGCUGGAACUUAACUUUUAUCUGGUACAUGAGGAAGAACCUGCGUGUGGGAGGAGGAUGACGACAUGGGUGAGGUGGAAAGAACGCUCACACACUGAAUGAGGGGAAACCUAUGCAACUUAAUGGGUUUGCUGUGUGUGUGUGUGUGUGUGUGUGUGUGUGUGUGUGUGUGUGUGUGUGUGUGUGUGUGUGUGUGUGUGUGUGCGUGUGUGCGUGUGUGCGUGCGUGUUGCUGCUGCACUCACAGGUAGUUUGCCAGGUUGUGCUCUUGUAAGGUGUGAGUCUCGAACCCGUGAGGAGUCCGGUCAAAGUAGUCGUUGCCGAUUCCACAGAUGAAGCAUUUGGUCUGAAAGAAGAAGAAGAGUGGAUGUUUACACUUCCAUACAGGAAGUUCCACUGACACACAAGACUCUUAUUAAUGCUGUAUUCAGUUUAUAGGUUUAUGACUAAGGCUACAACCAUACUUAUGUUUUAGCUCAGUAUCAUUAAUCAUCCCCGACCAUACUAACACACCCGAGAAGGCACGUCACCUGACUGCUCUGUUUUUAUACAAGUUUAUGAGAAAAUUAAUCCACUUCUCACUUGAUUUAUAACGUCAUUAAACAUUUUAUCGUUCAAUCUCUAGUUUCAAGUCUUCUUCAAUACAGCGUGAUGUUCAUUUCGUAAAUCCAGUUCUCAUUUAGAGUUAAAUAGACGAUAAAGCACUGCAUGCAUUGUAGCGUGGAUAGUGUGAUUGACAGCUGGUCCAUGUUGCAUAACCCUGAUUCCUGGAGCCACCACCUUCACGAGAUCCACACCAAAGUGUAUUGGGUUCGCCCCUCUACCAAGUUCAGUGUGAAUCACUUCAGUAAGUUUUGCAUAAUCUUGAUGAGAAAGAAAGAAAUGAACCAACAUUAUCUCCUCAUGUUACACAGGCAUCCAAAGCUCUGUGAUAUUCUCCACUCUGUGUUUGGAGAAGUCAGUCUUUCCUCUGUUGACAAAUGAAUUUUGCACCCGAUGCCCAUUUUUGUUCCAAAAGUCUGUCUGUUCAAAUUAUUACUGGGAUGACAUCGUGCAGUCUGCACCUGACCUCAGAUGUUGAGAUUCCCAAGCCGAUCUUAUACAUCAUGCACUAUCAUCAGGGAGGCAUCUGAUCUGCCACAGAUUCAUUAUUCACUCUGCCACGUGACGACGAGGCCGAAACCUACAGUUUCAUAAAGAACCGUCUUCAGAGUAACGAGUGGAACAAGGAGUCCUGCAGCAGAUGGUCCGACUCCCACGGAGCUCUGAUCCCAACUUCACAGACUCAGAGUCUCUCGGUGUGAGAUCACAUGAAGAGACUGAGACGGACUGAACCCACUGAAGAACCGUGGAGCACGGAGAGUGGGCACGGUUUUAAAUACAAACACUGAUCUAAUUUACAGGAUGUAUUUGUGUGUUUACUGCACUUUGUUUAUGAAUUUGAACUGAAAUAAAAACUAUUCACUAUA